rnacentral:rRNA from 1 species
AUUGAACGCUGGCGGCAGGCCUAACACAUGCAAGUCGAGCGGAUGAAGGGAGCUUGCUCCUGGAUUCAGCGGCGGACGGGUGAGUAAUGCCUAGGAAUCUGCCUGGUAGUGGGGGACAACGUUUCGAAAGGAACGCUAAUACCGCAUACGUCCUACGGGAGAAAGCAGGGGACCUUCGGGCCUUGCGCUAUCAGAUGAGCCUAGGUCGGAUUAGCUAGUUGGUGAGGUAAUGGCUCACCAAGGCGACGAUCCGUAACUGGUCUGAGAGGAUGAUCAGUCACACGGGAACUGAGACACGGUCCAGACUCCUACGGGAGGCAGCAGUGGGGAAUAUUGGACAAUGGGCGAAAGCCUGAUCCAGCCAUGCCGCGUGUGUGAAGAAGGUCUUCGGAUUGUAAAGCACUUUAAGUUGGGAGGAAGGGUUGUAGAUUAAUACUCUGCAAUUUUGACGUUACCGACAGAAUUAGCACCGGCUAACUCUGUGCCAGCCGCCGCCGUAACAC